rnacentral:rRNA from 1 species
UACGUAGGGUCCGAGCGUUGUCCGGAAUUACUGGGCGUAAAGCGUGCGCAGGCGGUUCGUCGUGUCCGAUGUGAAAGCCCCGGGCUCAACCUGGGAAUGGCAUUGGAAACUGGCGGACUCGAGUGUGGCAGAGGGGGGUGGAAUUCCGGCGUGUAGCAGUGAAAUGCGUAGAGAUGCGGAGGAACACCGAUGGCGCAAGGCA